rnacentral:rRNA from 1 species
UACGUAGGUGGCAAGCGUUGUCCGGAUUAUUGGGUUUAAAGGGUGCGUAGGCGGUCUAUUAAGUCAGCGGUGAAUACUCCAGCUUAACUGGAGGGGUGCCAUUGAUACUGAUGGACUUGAGUCAAGUCGAGGUAGGCGGAAUUGACGGUGUAGCGGUGAAAUGCUUAGAUAUCGUCAAGAACACCAAUAGUGAAGACAGCUUACUGGGCUUAAACUGACGCUGAGGCACGAAAGCGUGGGGAGCAAACAGG